UCCCUGGUGGCUCAGAUGGUAAAGCGUCUGCCUACCACCCAGGAGACCUGGGUUCGAUCCCUAGGUAGGGAA